UUGGGACUUGAGUGAGGGUUGGGAAGGGGAGUUAUUGGUGUUGAAACUGAAGAAUUUACUAAGUAAAUGUUACUUUAUAUGGGCCUCUUGGUGGCCAACUGGCUGGCUGUCCAUAGGAACACUCCAGAUCAUGCUCUUUUGACCUUCAACAUUGAAGUCUUUGGAAGUUUUUAAAGAUGGUGGGAUGUAAUCAGAUUUGUAUUUUGGAAAGAUAGCAUUGGUAGCAGUUUGAAUAAUUGCUGGAAGCCAUUUCUGAACUCACCAAGUUGAGAAAAUCUCCUUGUGAGGGAGCCCUGGACCUGCUGGGGCCGGACUCUGGCAAAUAACGAAAUUGGGACAAGUGCAGAAGCUGGGGUCUACUUCUGAAAUAACCCAGAAGGCCGUCCUAACAUCCUGAGAGUGAAACCAGGACUGGGGUCUGUUCUGAGACUUCGCCACUGAUGGUUUGCUACCCGGUAACCAGUAAGACCCCCAGACUGUUACAGGAAAGCUAAAAAGGACUGUGAAGGGAACAUCUUCCUCGACAGCAGGAAGGCGCCUGCUCUGGUGUCCUGAGUUGACUUUUAGUGAGAGUAUCAUCAGAAUUUGUACCCGGCUUUUCCUUCCUCCACUGGAAGAAUUUUGAGUUCUUAGCACCGUACUGGGAGAGAGCAGUAUAAAAGGGGUUCUUGGGCAACUUUUCACUGGUCAACUUCAUCCUGUUUCGACAAUGUGUAUUCUGUGAAAGAAACAAAACAAAACAAAAGAAUAAAAACCAACAUGGUAGAAAUACCUUCCUCUAGAAAAGUACAGAAAGACUCCAUUCUCAUUUGGCACUCAUUUAUAAAAAGCCACCUCCCUGCAUUUGCCUAGGGACAGGGGACCAAACAACCAGCUGGGAUGUGCAUAUUUUGAGGAAAGCAGGGCCGUCCGUAGCUUCGAGAGGCACGAUCCUCCUCCGGUUCUGUGUCUACAGCGUGGGACUAAUGAUAAGCGCUGCUGGCACGUCCUCUGGCCGUGAGCUCUCGUGCUGCAGGGUGGGUCAGGUCCCCGACCACAACUGCCACCGGUAGGAACUGGUGACACCACCCAUAAACACGGUCCUGGUGCACUGAUGCUGCUUCCUAACAGCACCUCGUGACACUCAUUUCAAAUUAAAGCAUUUGUCUUUCUUA